AGGCUUAGGCUUAGGCUCAGGCUCAGGCUUUGGCUCAGACUUAGGAUUAGGCUCAGGCUUAGGCUUAGGCUU
ensembl:ncRNA K03E5.7 ncRNA